rnacentral:rRNA from 1 species
GUGUCAGCAGCCGCGGUAAUACGGAGGGUGCAAGCGUUAAUCGGAAUUACUGGGCGUAAAGGGCGCGUAGGUGGUUAAUUAAGUCAGAUGUGAAAUCCCCGGGCUUAACCUGGGAAUUGCAUUUGAAACUGAUUGGCUAGAGUACGGGAGAGGGAAGUGGAAUUUCCGGUGUAGCGGUGAAAUGCGUAGAUAUCGGAAGGAACACCAGUGGCGAAGGCGACUUCCUGGCCCGUUACUGACACUGAGGCGCGAAAGCGUGGGGAGCGAACAGGAUUGGAUACCCUGGUAGUCCACGCCGUAAACGAUGAGAACUAGAUGUUAGGUGGCUUAGACCAUUUAGUAUCGCAGCAAACGCGUUAAGUUCUCCGCCUGGGGAGUACGGUCGCAAGAUUAGA